rnacentral:tRNA from 1 species
GGAGGGCACAGCUCAGUGCUAGAACCCAUGCUUAGCACACAUGAAGUCCUGGGUUCAACUCCCAGUCCCUCCA